AGAGUUUGAUCAUGGCUCAGGAUGAACGCUGGCGGCGUGCCUAACACAUGCAAGUCGAGCGAUUUACUUCGGUAAAGAGCGGCGGACGGGUGAGUAACGCGUGGGUAACCUGCCUCAUACACAUGGAUAACAUACCGAAAGGUAUGCUAAUACAGGAUAAUAUAAGAGAUUCACAUGGAUUUUUUAUCAAAGCUCCGGCGGUAUGAGAUGGACCCGCGUCUGAUUAGCUAGUUGGUAAGGUAAUGGCCUACCAAGGCGACGAUCAGUAGCCGACCUGAGAGGGUGAUCGGCCACAUUGGAACUGAGACACGGUCCAAACUCCUACGGGAGGCAGCAGUGGGGAAUAUUGCACAAUGGGCGAAAGCCUGAUGCAGCAACGCCGCGUGAGUGAUGAAGGCCUUCGGGUCGUAAAACUCUGUCCCCAAGGAAGAUAAUGACGGUACUUGAGGAGGAAGCCCGGCUAACUACGUGCCAGCAGCAGC
rnacentral:rRNA from 1 species